UGAGGAAUAUUGGUCAAUGGGCGCGAGCCUGAACCAGCCAAGUCGCGUGAGGGAAGACGGCCCUACGGGUUGUAAACCUCUUUUGUCGGGGAGCAAGGACUGCCACGAGUGGCAGGGCGAGAGUACCCGAAGAAAAAGCAUCGGCUAACUCCGUGCCAGCAGCCGCGGUAAUACGGAGGAUGCGAGCGUUAUCCGGAUUUAUUGGGUUUAAAGGGUGCAUAGGCGGAAGUUCAAGUCAGCGGUAAAAUCGAGGGGCUCAACCCCUUUAAGCCGUUGAAACUGGGUUUCUUGAGUGGGCGAGAAGUGUGCGGAAUGUGUGGUGUAGCGGUGAAAUGCAUAGAUAUCACACAGAACUCCGAUUGCGAAGGCAGCACACCGGCGCCCAACUGAUGCUGAGGCACGAAAGCGUGGGGAUCAAACAGGAUUAGAUACCCUGGUAGUCCACGCAGUAAACGAUGAACACUAGGUGUGCGGGUCGAAUGAGAUCUGCGUGCCACAGCGAAAGCGUUAAGUGUUCCACCUGGGGAGUACGCCGGCAACGGUGAAACUCAAAGGAAUUGACGGGGGCCCGCACAAGCGGAGGAACAUGUGGUUUAAUUCGAUGAUACGCGAGGAACCUUACCCGGGCUCAAACGGCAGAGGAAAGUUUUUGAAAGGAGGCUGCUCUACGGAGCCUCUGCCGAGGUGCUGCAUGGUUGUCGUCAGCUCGUGCCGUGAGGUGUCGGCUUAAGUGCCAUAACGAGCGCAACCCCUACCGCCAGUUGCCAUCAGGUAAAGCUGGGGACUCUGGCGGGACUGCCGGCGCAAGCUGUGAGGAAGGCGGGGAUGACGUCAAAUCAGCACGGCCCUUACGUCCGGGGCGACACACGUGUUACAAUGGCAGGUACAGCGGGAAGCCACCGAGCGAUCGGGAGCAGAACCCGAAAACCUGUCUCAGUUCGGAUUGGAGUCUGCAACUCGACUCCAUGAGGCUGGAUUCGCUAGUAAUCGCGCAUCAGCCAUGGCGCGGUGAAUACGUUCCC
rnacentral:rRNA from 1 species